AAGCAAGCCUCUGCUGACACCCUGUUGCAGUGUGACUCCAAAAACCAGCCUUGUGAGGAGAAGCCAGAACCAGAGCCAGAUCCAACCCUGAAAGCAGAGCUGAGACCAUCUCAUCCCGUUGAGCCAGAACAUGUUGCCCUCAGGGACCCGAAGCCUGUUUGCCUCAGGAGAACCAGAUAAUCCAGGUCUUCACCCUGAUGCCCCCCCCACAUGUGAUGUCUGUGCACGA